rnacentral:rRNA from 1 species
AUGAGCUCUUGUGGUGCUAGGCAUGCACCAAUUGGUCCAAAGCAACAAAAAGUAAGGUUGUCAAAGGUUGAUGAGGGGAAAGGCAAUUUGGAGAACAUUGUGUUUGAUCAAGAUGUUUCUAGAAAAGAGAUUGCACUAAUGAUAUGUGUUCAUGAGUACCCACUAUCUAUGGUCGAUCAUUCAGGUUUUCGGAAAUUUUGUUCCACAUUACAACCAAUGUUUAAAAUGGUCUCAAGGAAUAAUAUUAGAAAAGAAAUUCUGGGUAUGUAUGCAGCUAAGAAGGAUAAGAUUGUGAAGUAUUUGGCAAAUUUUAGAAAUCGAGUUGCCAUCACCAUGGACAUGUGGACCGCUGGACAUCAGAAAAGAGGUUACAUGGUAGUCACUCCACAUUUCAUCGAUGAGUUUUGGAAACUAAAGAGUAUUAUUUUGAGGUUUGUUUAUGUGCCUUGCCCACAUAAUGCCGAAGUCAUAUGUAAAGCACUGUAA